rnacentral:rRNA from 1 species
AUUGAACGCUGGCGGCAGGCUUAACACAUGCAAGUCGAGCGGGGUGAUGGUGCUUGCACUAUCACUUAGCGGCGGACGGGUGAGUAAUGCUUAGGAAUCUGCCUAUUAGUGGGGGACAACAUCUCGAAAGGGAUGCUAAUACCGCAUACGUCCUACGGGAGAAAGCAGGGGACCACUUGUGACCUUGCGCUAAUAGAUGAGCACAAGUCGGAUUAGCUAGUUGGUGGGGUAAAGGCCUACCAAGGCGACGAUCUCUAGCGGGUCUGAGAGGAUGAUCCGCCACACUGGGACUGAGACGCGGCCCAGACUCCUACGGGAGGCAGCCGUGGGGAAUAUUGGACAAUGGGGGGAACCCUGAUCCAGCCAUGCCGCGUGUGUGAAGAAGGCCUUAUGGUUGUAAAGCACUUUAAGCGAGGAGGAGGCUCUUUUGGUUAAUACCCAAGAUGAGUGGACGUUACUCGCAGAAUAAGCACCGGCUAACUCUGUGCCAGCCGCCGCCGUAA